rnacentral:rRNA from 1 species
GUCCUUUAGAUAAUUAUAAUUUAAGGUCUAACCUGCCCAUUGAUAAGUUAAAAGGCCGCAGUAAUUUGACUGUGCAAAGGUAGCAUAAUCAUUAGUUUUUUAAUUAAAAGCUUGUAUGAAUGGUUGGACGAGAUAAAAGCUGUCUCUUUAUAAAAAAUAGAAUUUAAUUUUUAAGUUAAAAAGCUUAAAUUUAUAUAAAAGACGAGAAGACCCUAUAGAUCUUUAUAUAAUUUUUUUUAAUAUUAAUAAAGAAAUUUUAAUUUAUUAAAUAAUUUUAUAUUUUAUUGGGGUAAUAAAAAGAUUAAUUUAAUUCUUUUUAAUUCAACAAUAAUUAUUGAUUAUAUGAUCCAUUAUUAAUGAUUAUAAGAUUAAGUUACCUUAGGGAUAACAGCGUAAUUUUUUUAAAGAGUUCUUAUCAAUAAAAAAGUUUGCGA